UUUGAUGUCACCCUCAAAGGGGUGUCCUUUUAUAUGGCCCUCCUGGAUGCGAUAAACUCUGAUCUUGUGGCCAAUGCUAUCGCCAAUGAUUAUUGGCCAAACUUCAUCAUUAUUGAAGGACUUGAAUAGCCCGGGAUGUGGUUUGUUCAUGUGUCCGCCUCUUUAAUGAGCUUGAUGCCACUGGUAUGUAGGUGAUUUGUAGGUGCUGACAGGGUUUUGAACCAACAAUUACAAAACCGGAUGGAGUGUCUGCCAAGAAAAGUAUUUUCAUUAUCGGUGCCACCGACAGAGCUGACCUUAUAGAACCUGCACUUCUAUGUCCCAGCACAUCUGUCCCCAAUGAGGAAUCAAAUUCUAAUAUUCAAGGCUUGUUUGAGGAAAUCACAUGUUUCCAAAUAUGUGAACAUUAGAGCAAUGUUCAACUGUCUACUUGCACAAGGGUUUUGUGGUGCUGGUAUUAAAAAAUAUGCCAUGAUGCCUGGAUUGUUGAUGAUUCUGAUAUCCUCAAAUAUCAUGCGGCGCAGACAUGGCACCUCUAGAUCAGAUGCAUACUUAUCAUCGUGUUUUGGUUUAUUGCUGGUUCUGCUGGGCUGAUUGGUUUUGUGGUUUGUGGAUUGCAUGUUGCUGAUGCCUCGGCUGCUACAGAGGAAGUAUCUGCUUUUUCUUUGCAGAAUUUGGUGUUGAAUCCACAUUUAAUUGCUUUUUCUUCGCAGAAUUCGUUGUUGAAUCCACAUUUAACUUUGUCAAAGUAUACUAAAAUCCUAGAAUAAAGGACACAAAAGAGAUUAUAAAACAAAGAUUAUGAUGUCCCUUUACUUUUUCUUUACUUUGGUAAGUAUGUUGUUAUGAGUUCUAUUGAAAUUAACG